rnacentral:rRNA from 1 species
GUGGGGAAUUUUGGACAAUGGGCGAAAGCCUGAUCCAGCCAUGCCGCGUGCAGGAUGAAGGCCUUCGGGUUGUAAACUGCUUUUGUACGAAACGAAAAGCCUGGGGCUAAUAUCCCCGGGUCAUGACGGUACCGUAAGAAUAAGCACCGGCUAACUACGUGCCAGCAGCCGCGGUAAUACGUAGGGUGCAAGCGUUAAUCGGAAUUACUGGGCGUAAAGCGUGCGCAGGCGGUUUUGUAAGACAGUGGUGAAAUCCCCGGGCUCAACCUGGGAACUGCCAUUGGGACUGCAAGGCUAGAGUGCGGCAGAGGGGGAUGGAAUUCCGCGUGUAGCAGUGAAAUGCGUAGAUAUGCGGAGGAACACCGAUGGCGAAGGCAAUCCCCUGGGCCUGCACUGACGCUCAUGCACGAAAGCGUGGGGAGCAAACAGGAUUAGAAACCCCAGUAGUCC